UUGCGUUCUGCUAAUCGGUGAAGCCGUGUCGCAGAUGGUUUAAACCACAGUUUUUUUCGGGAUACCCGAUGAAAGGUGAGCA
rfam:Marine metagenome ctg_1101668234623, whole genome shotgun sequence.